CACACGUAUUUGCGGGCGCGCGCCUCCGUCCUCGUGAGUUCAAAGUGGAUUUUAACCGUUUACCUCAGACGACAGUUUUCAUUUCUAUGGCAAAUUCUAAGGUCAUUUUCUUGUUGUGUUUUGAUGUUUUCCAUUGGCUGAAGACUAAGAUGAGCCUGAAGAGGAGAUUUGGGAAGUCUUUGCUUUGCCAGAUCACCUGUGGUAAGUCGGGAUAUCUGCUAACAAGAUGCCUUGUUGGUCUGGGCGAGUUUGAAGUCUCUCACAGACAGUCCAGAAGGUCUGGAGUCCAUCUUAGCUUUUAUUGAUGCUUUCAUCGGGUUUUAAGUACAGUAUGAGCCAGAAUGGAAGGGUGUUGGUGGCCAUAAGAAGACUGUGAGCUAAACCUACAACAAAAUUCAUAU